GAUUCUUUAUUAGAAUUCUUGUGUAAAUUGUCUUGGUCGGAGGAGCUGUAAGUAAUGUUUAUUUUUGUUGAUCAAUUCUCUUUGGACAUUCUUUUACUCGUUGUGUCACGAGAUAGAUGGUAAUAAAAUUCCCUGCAAUGCCCAUUGGGAAAAUAACAUUAUUAUUUGUGUGAAUAAAUAAUUUAUUCAAGAAACUUUUUUCUUGCAUAAUCCAUCUUUCCACCGUUGGAUAUGGUAUGAUGUUAAGCAUAUCUGGGAAUCUGAGACUGAGAACCUCGGCCUUCGGAUUCUCUGUUUUCCUGCGGAUAAGACAUAUUUUUAAUCAAACAACUUGCGAUUAUAUUUGGUUUCCAUUAAUGUUUUCUUCAUUGAAAUGAAUUUAUCAAAUUUAUUGCAGAGACGGUAUGGGUGU
rnacentral:misc_RNA from 1 species